rnacentral:snRNA from 1 species
AUACUCUGCUUUCUCUUCAGUUCGUAUAAAUCUUUCACCUUUUACUAAAGAUUUCCGUGGAGAGGAACAUUUAUUGAGUGAC